rnacentral:siRNA from 1 species
GACAGUGUUUUUGUGGGUGUUGAU